CAAAAAUCUCGGAGGACUUGAAUUUCCCAGCACCAGCUGAAACUGAUUCCGACAGUGAAAGCAGCAAAGACUUUGGUCCAAUCUGGUUCUGCUUGGUUGCUGCAGAAGAGAAUAAAGGAAGUGCACCAUUGCCACAACUAUCUUCGUGCUACCUACGAGUCAAGGAUGGCAGUGUAACUGUUUCCUACAUUAAAAAGUAUCUCGUGAAGAAGCUUGGUCUUGCUAGCGAAACUGAGGUGGAGAUCACAUUACAAGGGCAG
rnacentral:sRNA from 1 species